rnacentral:rRNA from 1 species
UACGUAGGGAGCGAGCGUUGUCCGGAAUCAUUGGGCGUAAAGAGCAUGUAGGUGGAUCAAUUAGUCUGCUGUGAAAGUCAAAGGCUCAACCUUUGAAAGCCGGUGGAUACUGUUGAUCUAGAGUACGGAAGAGGCGAGUGGAAUUCCUGGUGUAGCGGUGGAAUGCGCAGAUAUCAGGAAGAACACCCGUGGCGAAGGCGGCUCUCUGGAACGCAACUGACGCUGAGACGCGAAAGCGUGGGGAGCAAACAGG